rnacentral:tRNA from 1 species
GGGGCUGCGGCUGUGGCUCUGUGGUAGAGCUUCUACUUGGCAUGCAGAUGGUCUCAGGUUCGAUUCCUGCCAUCCCCA